GGAUGCGAUCAUACCAGCACUAAAGCACCGGAUCCCAUCAGAACUCCGAAGUUAAGCACGGAUCCCAUCAGAACUCCGAAGUUAAGCAUGCUUGGGCGAGAGUAGUACUAGGAUGGGUGACCUCCUGGGAAGUCCUCGUGUUGCAUCCC
rnacentral:rRNA from 1 species